GUUUAAGUAAGUAAGAGCUCAUGGUGAAUGCCUUGGCAUGAGUAGGCGAUGAAGGACGUGGUAAGCUGCGAUAAGCUGCGGGUAGCUGCAAACAAGCGUUGAUCCGUAGAUUUCCGAAUGGGGCAACCCGGUACCGUGAAGCGGUAUCGCUCCGACUUGUCGGAGGGCUAACCCGGGGAACUGAAACAUCUAAGUACCCGGAGGAAGAGAAAACAACAGUGAUUCCCUAAGUAGUGGCGAGCGAACGGGGAAGAGCCCAAACCGGGCUGGUUUCGGCCAGGCCGGGGUUGUAGGGUCCGCACAACGAGACCACUAGUCGAAAUCGAAGCUGUCAGGAAAGCAGCGCCUAAGAAGGUGAAAGCCCUGUAGGUGUAAGACGAAUGGCUCAGCGGUGUCCCUGAGUACCACGGGACCGGAGAAAUCCUGUGGGAAUCUACCAGCACCAUCUGGUAAGGCUAAAUACUCACUCAUGACCGAUAGUGAACCAGUACCGUGAGGGAAAGGUGAAAAGAACGCCUAGUAGGCGAGUGAAAUAGUACCUGAAACCAUGAGCUUACAACCAGUCGGAGCCCCUUCGUGGGGUGACGGCGUGCCUUUUGCAUAAUGAGCCUACGAGUUACUCCUAACUGGCAAGGUUAAGGCCUUAAGGGCCGCAGCCGAA
rnacentral:rRNA from 1 species